rnacentral:hammerhead_ribozyme from 1 species
AUCCAGUUGAUGAGUCCUAAAUAGGACGAAACGUGUGUCCUGGAU